CGGAGACAGUACCUCGAGCUCCGAGUGCCUUCUCCCACUUCCUCUGCCCUCUAGGCUUCAAGGGAAACAGAAGUUCUUCUCAAGUUAAACAACAAAGUGAAACGUCCUGUAUCCAAGUCAUAUGUAGAUAUGAACAAAGAGCAAAGAAUUUGCCCUGGAAGUCCUCGUAUUCUUCUCCUCAUCUUCCUGGUCACCUAUAAACUGAUCAUUGAGAAAGGGAAUGGGCUCACAAUGAAAGUCAGGUUUUACACUAGUCUGUUUUGCCCUGAGCUGUGGAGAGGAUCAAGAUCCCAGAGGAAUGGAUACUCCAACUGGGUGGGAACCAGAUGGGGAAAUUGAGGUCAAGAGAGAUCUCAGAUCUGGAACAAGGCUGGAGAGCGGAGUGCCUUGAAUACUAAGCUAAGGGAUCUCAGCUCUGCAAUGCGGACCAGUGAUGUUUCAACAUUUCCUCAUUUGAAUGCUUAUUCAUUGACCCACUUCCUACAUGCCAUGUGACCAGAUGUCCCAAGAAGAGUUCCUUUGGGAUGAAGUUAAUUCUGAUCCUUUGUAUACCAUUGUGAAAUAGCACUGCUGAGAUGGUGACAAGACACAUCUGAAGCAAUCACCUAGACGAGUGCCAAGGAUCCAAAAGCUUUAGCUUCUCAUCCUGCUGUUAACUUGUUCUGCUAGCCCAGACGGAAUCCUGAGCUCUCCUAUAGUUAAACAAGAAGCAUUCAUCCUCAGAACCAGUGGCUCUGGCCCCUUCUCCCACCAUGA